ACACAACUACUCAUUAUACUAGUCAUUUUCAUCUGAGUAGAGGGUCCUGCAGGACAAAAUAGCAACAAGGAGGAAAGGAAAGUAAAGUACAGAAACGUGAAGCAACCUCAGUCACCCAGCUGCCAUAAAAACAAAUGCCUUUCUGACCUUCCCAUGAAGCCAAUCCAUGAAGCCAAGAACUCUGUGAGAGGUAUUUUCCUUGGUCCAGGAGAAGCAUACAGAGACUCAGAGAAGCCUUUGAGCAAUCAGGCCUCGUCAAGGCCAGUUUACUACCAUGAGAUCACAGUCUCUUGUGUAAUUCUAUUUCACAAUAACUGUCCAGUCUCUAUCUAAAC